GGCGGAUGCACCUCUGUACAAGCAGCACCGCAGGUACACAGGGAACUCCACGACGUUGACCUCCACGGCAACCACAAGCUCCACGUCGUUUGCACAAGCAAGGGUCAAGACAUGGACAAGAUGUUAUCCACGCUCAGGAGGAAGCUCGGCGGAAUGCCCAUCAAACUAGUCGGCGUUGAUGUCGAGUACACGCACUACGUGAAGCCACAGCGGGCAGCAGUGCUCCAGCUAUACAAAUUCCUCAUGAAUGGUGAGUACACCUUCGUCGGAUUCGCCAUUGAAGGAGACAAAAGCAAGCUGAAGCUAUCUGGCUUGGAGAUCAACUCCGACAACUACAUUGAUAUUCAGGUGGAAUGGAGAGACCCAUACAAUAAAAAGGAGUUUGACUCUUUGGCUGAUGUUGCCGGCAGGAUGAUAGACAUUCACUACCAUGACAUGAAGAAAAAAAUUAAUCGCAAGGAGGACCAUACUCUGUGGGAAUUUUGCCCGCUGCCAGAUAAGCUUAUCAAGUAUGCAGAAAUAGAUGCAUUCGCAACAUAUGAGUCAUGGAGAAUCAUC
rnacentral:rRNA from 1 species